rnacentral:rRNA from 1 species
GGGGGAAUAUUGCACAAUGGGCGGAAGCCUGAUGCAGCGACGCCGCGUGGGGGAUGAAGGCCUUCGGGUUGUAAACUCCUUUCGACAGGGACGAAGCUUUUGUGACGGUACCUGUAUAAGAAGCACCGGCUAACUACGUGCCAGCAGCCGCGGUAAUACGUAGGGUGCGAGCGUUGUCCGGAAUUACUGGGCGUAAAGAGCUCGUAGGUGGUUUGUCGCGUCGUCUGUGAAAUUCCGGGGCUUAACUCCGGGCGUGCAGGAUAUACGGGCUGACUUGAGUGCUGUAGGGGAGACUGGAAUUCCUGGUGUAGCGGUGAAAUGCGCAGAUAUUAGGCGGAACACCGAUGGCGAAGGAAGGUCUCUGGGCAGUAACUGACGCUGAGGAGCGAAAGCAUGGGUAGCGAACAGG